AAUGUUGGGAUUACAGGUGUGAGUUGCUGUGCCCGGCCCUGAUACACAUUCUUUCUCUAAGCCAUAGACAGUAGGAUAGUAGAACCGACCAUCAGCAGGAUGUGUUGCCACAGAAGAAAUCGAUAUUGUGCUAGACUUCAUAUCAGGAAGCUGAGUACAGAUGGACUGACUCUCAUCAAUAAACGCCAUGGGAACACAAACCAGGUCAACAGUGGGGUGAGAUCAACGAACGCUGCUGUUGUUAUUUAUGAUAUGGAGCUGGUAUGACUCUAGGUCUGGUUGAACUCUUACCUCUAGUCUGGAGGGUAUAGAGGUCAUGCAUGAUUUAAUGCAGG
rnacentral:lncRNA from 1 species